rnacentral:tRNA from 1 species
AUUUAAAUAGUUUAAUAAAAAUAUUGAUUUGUGGUGUCAAUGAUAUACUUUGUAUUUUAAAUA